GUGAGGUGAUGAACCUGUUUAUCCAUUCUCUGAGCUCUGAUCGGUUGGUGCUACGUUGUCACGGUGCCAUUCCCGUUCUGGGGAUGGGGCCUGUCCGUGCAGCGUUCGGCGUCUCUUCACGUUCUGUCGAAGAGACGUUUGAGCGAUGUACGGAAAUGCGAGUGCUGCCGCGGAGCUGGGACGAGGAUAUGGGACUGAUCAC